rnacentral:tRNA from 1 species
GAGGAUGUAGCUCAGUGGUAGAGCCCUUGCCUAGGAAGUGAGAGAGUCUGGCUUCCAUCUCCAGCACCAUAA